AACUCAGAUAGUGUUAGUUCAAUGGAGAAUUUUCGACAUUCUUUUGGCAUAUCUAUAGAAAGCUCCAAGACAAAUAAUUUUCUAAAAAAAAUGGGAACAUUUUUGAAAAGUGUUGGCAUGGCAGUUUUGGACAAACUGCUCUAGAAUCUGGAGAAUAAGUCUCAACGCCCUGACUUUUUAUAGUUCCUCAGAUCUAGAAAUUUAUACGGACGGAAAUGGACAGAUCGCGGUUUUUAUUAUUUUACGAAAAUUGAAGCAGUAGUCAACCUGCGCUGCAUACAGGCUUAGUCCCAACUAGCACUUAAGGUUCGCGAUGUUCCAAAGUUCAUACAAUCGGGCAGUCGGACAAAAGACCAUGGGAAAGCACGACUCGUUUUGUAAUCAUGGACUACAGAGAACUUAUAUACACCCACCUACAAAAACUCCAAUUUAAUUUUUCGCUGCUCAAGUCACAAAACUAUUGACAAUGAAGACAAACCCGGAUCAAAUGAAACCACAAGGAAGUAACUAUUCAGCUGACUGCAAGCAGAGGAAACUUUAAUGUUGCCUUAAUAUACUGCCCUCCUUACACUUAGAUGGACAGAUGCCAUUGCUGGGCAGUUCAUCACACACAAUUGGAGAAGCCACAUGCUACCCCCACCAUGCAACUGCCUCUCCAAGUGCCAUAGAUUUUGGGAUCUCCAAAGGCUUUAGACAGCAACUAAUCAGGGUGAAAGUGCUGACAGAACUGUUAUCUGACCAUCAUCUGCCAUUGAUUGAAGACGCCCAAUCAUUUAGAAGUGUUAAAAAAAUGCUGUCUCCACAAGCGAGAAUUCGGAUCUUUAAAAAACACAUCGAGGCUACUGUAGAACUCAACAUUUUCAUUGACACUUGCAGUAGGCUGGAAGCGUACGUCGACUACUUCACAUCGGCGAUCAUUGAAGCUGCAAGGCAGGCUACACCAAGUUGGUCUCACGGCCAUAAGGAGGCCUGCCAUUUUAAGCUUGGAGGCUAGGGACUUAGCCACAAAAGACGCCUCAGAAGACAUACACCGCGACAGGAGAUCCUAGCAUUUACCAGCAAUAUUCAUACUCCAACGCUCAGACACGCCCUAUACCUUACCGCAUAAGGUAAUGAUGCAACUAAAGGCUUUGCAGCCAAAAAAAACCCUGGUUACUAUGGCAUAGACAACCGAACUGCGAAAUUUCUACCACGCAAAGGAGUGCUUGCUCUUGUGAAAAUAUUUAAUGCUAUGCUAAGAUUAGGUAAUUUUCCCAGGCAAUGAAAACGUGCGCGCAUUGUAAUGAUCCCCAAAGCUGGAAAGUCACCAACACAGAUCGACUCAUACCGCCCGAUAAUCCUGCUACCAACUUUCUCCAACGUUUUUGAGAGAAUUUUGCUUACCCGCUUGAUGGAACUGCCGGAGGUAGGUAACACAUCCCACAAGAACUAGCUUUGAACAGUCGGCGUAUUUUUGGACGUGAAACAAGCGUUUGAUAAGGUGUGGCAUGAAGGUCUGCUAUAUAAAAUGAAAGAUCUCCUCCGAGCAGCCCAUUAUGCCAUCCUCAGCUCCUUCAUCGCUGAUCGGCCCUUCGAUGUUGCUGUACGAAACUGUCGGUCAAGCCUGGAACACAUUCAUGCAGGGGUUCCACAGGGAAGUGUGCUUGGACCCUUUCCGUAUACCCUGUACACUGCUGACAUGCCAACUCCCGUCAACAACACCGAUGAAGCCUCCCCUGCUCAGCUGCUCCUGGCCACCUACACUGAUGACACCGCCAUGCUUGCGUCGCACUCAUCCUUUCAAUUCAGCCCAAUGCAGUUCAGGAAUGGCUGCAUGCAAUCGAGCGAUGGACUGGUAAAUGGAACAAAUCCAUUACAUACUAAGUCGGCCUGUGUCACAUUUACCCUGCGACCUCAACAUGCCUAGGUCUUCUCUUUGACGGAAAUACCAUUGACCACGUCUCAUCCCACUGCUACUUCGGAGUUCACCUUGAUGGACGCUGAGUUGAAAAGCCCAUAUCACGGCAGUUAGAGCCAAAUCCUCAUGGAAGCUGAAAAAGCUGGACAGGCUUUUCCACUCAAGCAACCCUCAUAUGGCAGUUAAGGCUCCCUUAAUAAAAGCCAUAUUAGGUCCAACACUGACCCACGCAAUCCAAGUGUGGAGUGUGCCUCUGGGACUCAGCUCAAUGGGCUUGGAGUAAUACAAUCGCGAGCGGCACGACAUGCAUCUGGGCUACCCUGGUAUGUGAGCAACCGAGUCAUCGAAAAGGACUUAAAAGUUGUCCCACUGGGAGACCAAAUAAACUUCCACAGCAGCCGAUAUGCCGACAGACUUAGCGCCCACCCGAACUCGUUGGCGAAUCUUGUCGACCCUUUUUCCCCCUAUUUUACAUUUGUAUACAUUAUAAUUAAGGAACAGUAUCCAUAAUAUUAAGCAACACAUUAAGUUCAUAAGUUCAGAACAAUAAAAGAUUUCAAAAAAAAAAAAACAUUCUUCGUGUUGAUUCUGUACGAGUAUGAACACAAGAAAUCAACAUGCACUUUACAAUUUUAUAUUCAAUGCAUAUAUUUAUGUCUUCAUGUUUUAAAAAAUCAAGUAAUUAUACCACCCAAGACCUGACAUUAAUUUAGCUUAAUCUAGAUAACGACAAAAAAUUUAAUUCACUGGUAAGCAUAAUUAUUAUUUGAUACCCAAUCUGCCACCGAAAUGCUCUUCUGUGGAAGCGUUUUCAAAAAAAAAAAAAAACAAGCCAACAGUGUAUAACAAAAUACACGGAAAAAAUUAAUCAGCAUUACCAAGGAACCUUGCGUUAAAAUUAUUCGGAUAAUCUUGCAGUUCAAGAUUACUCGUGGUUGAAAACGGCUGCGGCCCACCUAAAAAAUCAUAAGUAAGAGCUGUCCCAAAUGCAAGCUAAAUUGGUAAAUUCUUGUUUAAUAUGCCUCUUCACCUUCACAGAGAAGAAAUUCUUUGAGUUGCGCAUUUGAAGUCAGUUACGCAAUCUUCUGAUUGCUGGCCGUUAAGAGAGGCGUGUUGGCGAGGUGUGUUGCUGUCGGCAGUUGGAGUCUGCGACUGGAGUUGUCUUAAGUGGUGUCGUCGUAGGUGAAGUUUGUGCCGAAUAGAGAGUUGCACACUUUCACGGCCACGUUGCGAUGGGCGAUCUUCUUGGAUCUGCCGUGGGCGUGGAAUUCCUGGUUGUCCACCGUGAUUCCCAGAUGCUGCAUGCCGUUGGUAUUGUCGCCAGAUGACCCGUAGUUCACGUAGCUGAGUCCCGGGCGCAUCUGCAGGGGAAUUGAUUACUGACAGUGAAUAUAGUGAGGUGGGCUGGCCUACAAUACAAAGAAUGGUCGCCGGGUGCAUGGUCUCCCAGCCAGAGGGUAGCUCCGUACGCACUGGCGGCUUCUUUGGCUCCUUCGGCGCGGCGGGAACUGGAGUUCCGGCAUCCUCUUCGGCCUGCUGGGCAGCAUUGGCCGAAGCGUGCAUCUCGGGUACGACAUAGCCCUCGCGCUCCCACUCCGCGAACAGCUUGUAGAUGGCAAACGAAGCCAGAUUCAACAUGGGCAGAUCAUCAUCCGGUGCAUCGGCCUCAUCCUCUUUAGUGUCUAUUGGCUCCGCACCUAUCUCCACCUGGUGAAUACGGGGAGGCUUAGGCGUCAUCUUCGCAAUUAUAAAAUCGCGCCAAGCCUUCUCGCAGGCCGCGUUCUUGGCUGUCAUCUUUGAGGUACCCUUGCCCACGUACUGAGUCGAGUUCACAGUGACAACGGCCGUGAAUCCCCCGUCGGUAUUGCUGACGAUGGUGAAAUCGCUGAUGGUCACGCCCUUAACCUCGUUGAGGGCCAUCAGAGCGUUCUUGGGGAGCAUGGACUUGCGCAGCUGGCGGUUCUGUCGCAGCUUCUUGUCCCGAGUGCGUUCUACGAUCGAGUUAAAAGACAUAUAUGUUAUUGUAUAAAUGUUAAGUAAUUUCCAGUCUGUCCUUUCAUAAGAACUGUAGUGAUUCGUGUGUGUGUGCGAUAAAAGUCUGGGAAAACUGAUCACCAAAGAAUUCCACGCUUACCAGACGACUUCUUGCGCUUUUGGAAGAUCUUUUUAAAUGGGAUCUUGCCCCCAAUGCCGCUGGCACUGGUAUUGUCCUCUAUAAUGUCGACGGACGGUUCAUCGUCGACAGAGAUCGGCUCCUCCUUGAUGAUAACUGGCAAGGGCAGCUUCGAGGCGAUGGCGUCCGCAUCCGGAUUUUGCUGCUGGACGGACGAGUUCGGCACUUGAACGGGGACAGGAGUCGAUGGCUGCUGAACAGCCACCGGAGUGGCCACCGGAGGAGACUGCUGCUCCUGGACAUUGGCGGCCUGCAACGGCAUUUGGAUCAAAGGCUUGACGGUGGCAUUGGGAUUCUGCGUUUGCGAAAGAGUUAACCGAUUAGUUAGCAAAGGCAACGGGCUGGUCCAGUGGGUCGACAGAAAAGCGACUCGCUGGCCAACGGAAACCAUCAAGUCGUCAAGUUACCCGGAAGCGUCAGGGUGGUCGGCUGGUCUACUUAAAACCAUAGUUCAGGAAAUAGCCAUGGCCAUUCCUGCGACCCAAGUGCCCCGAAACGAAGCUCUGCACCAGCGGAGCCACCUGCCCAGCAACUGUGGAUCUAGGGUAGGGUAACAAUUCCCUCAUUCAUUUAAAGGGGUUAAAAACAGCAAAGUCCGAUUAACAAAUAAAUGCAGUCUUAUGGUGAGUUAAUUUUUCGCUAAUGUAUUCUGUUGCAGCGAGGUUCGAGAAAAUCAAAUUCUAAUUCUAAUACAAUUUUCUCCGAUAUGCAAAAAUGGAUUAAUUUUUAAUGACUAGUGCUCUAUAAGUUACACAAUUCUAAAAUACGUUAAUUUAUUUCUUUCUAUUUUAGUAAGAAACAAAUCAAACACGAAUUCAUUUUGGACUUGGAAUAGUAUAGUUAUGGGGAUCCUUCGGUCAUCGGCUGAGCUCAUGGUCGCCGGCUCGUUUCGGGCACUUUCGGUGGAGUGAAUGGGCAUUGCUAUCUGACCCAAAACUAAUAAUUUUAGUUACAAUUUCGAGUAAAUGCAUUUUCAGUAGCCAUAAAAGUUAGCGAUAACCGCAAGUCCAGCGUGAAACUAUCGCAGUGCUAGCCAUCUCUGGUUGAUCGAAAGCACGAAUGGAGUGGAAUGACUGCAAUGACCAAAUGGGUGGGAUACAAAUGCAAUGGAAGAGGGAAAGCUGGGGGUGGGCUGGAGGGUGCAUUGUGGAUGCUGGUGGAAUUCGGACAACGAUCUGCAGUGCAGUCUCUGCACUUUCGAUUAACCCGCUUUUAGUGGCUAUUGCAAAUGAGUUCACAAUUGUAAUGAAUACACACACUUUCACUUUGUGCGCUGCAAAUUAUAGAAAUAAAAUCGAAAACUUUGUUAUUUCACAAAUCAAAUAUGGAUGAGUCCAACAAUGGUUUUUGUUUUCGUGAUCUAGGAACACUAGGAACACAUCUCUUCACAGGGAAGUUUAAACUCACACUCCUGCACACACUUGGAAAAAAUGUAGAUUCUUACGUAAAUGCCUCCAAAGACAAAUGGCUUGUUGUUUGCCGCGAGUGGACGAAGAUUUCCCUCCAUCUUGAUUUUUUCGUUUUUGUAAUUUAAUUUUUCACUGUUCAAAUCACAGAGAUAAGCUUACUGCGCUGAUGGGAAAAGCCUAAA